rnacentral:rRNA from 1 species
AGCUUGCUGGGUGGAUUAGUGGCGAACGGGUGAGUAACACGUGAGUAACCUGCCCUUAACUCUGGGAUAAGCCUGGGAAACUGGGUCUAAUACCGGAUAGGAGCGUCCACCGCAUGGUGGGUGUUGGAAAGAUUUAUCGGUUUUGGAUGGACUCGCGGCCUAUCAGCUUGUUGGUGAGGUAAUGGCUCACCAAGGCGACGACGGGUAGCCGGCCUGAGAGGGUGACCGGCCACACUGGGACUGAGACACGGCCCAGACUCCUACGGGAGGCAGCAGUGGGGAAUAUUGCACAAUGGGCGCAAGCCUGAUGCAGCGACGCCGCGUGAGGGAUGACGGCCUUCGGGUUGUAAACCUCUUUCAGUAGGGAAGAAGCGAAAGUGACGGUACCUGCAGAAGAAGCACCGGCUAACUACGUGCCAGCAGCCGCGGUAAUACGUAGGGUGCGAGCGUUAUCCGGAAUUAUUGGGCGUAAAGAGCUCGUAGGCGGUUUGUCGCGUCUGUCGUGAAAGUCCGGGGCUUAACCCCGGAUCUGCGGUGGGUACGGGCAGACUAGAGUGCAGUAGGGGAGACUGGAAUUCCUGGUGUAGCGGUGGAAUGCGCAGAUAUCAGGAGGAACACCGAUGGCGAAGGCAGGUCUCUGGGCUGUAACUGACGCUGAGGAGCGAAAGCAUGGGGAGCGAACAGGAUUAGAUACCCUGGUAGUCCAUGCCGUAAACGUUGGGCACUAGGUGUGGGGACCAUUCCACGGUUUCCGCGCCGCAGCUAACGCAUUAAGUGCCCCGCCUGGGGAGUACGGCCGCAAGGCUAAAACUCAAAGGAAUUGACGGGGGCCCGCACAAGCGGCGGAGCAUGCGGAUUAAUUCGAUGCAACGCGAAGAACCUUACCAAGGCUUGACAUGUUCUCGAUCGCCGUAGAGAUACGGUUUCCCCUUUGGGGCGGGUUCACAGGUGGUGCAUGGUUGUCGUCAGCUCGUGUCGUGAGAUGUUGGGUUAAGUCCCGCAACGAGCGCAACCCUCGUUCCAUGUUGCCAGCACGUAAUGGUGGGGACUCAUGGGAGACUGCCGGGGUCAACUCGGAGGAAGGUGAGGACGACGUCAAAUCAUCAUGCCCCUUAUGUCUUGGGCUUCACGCAUGCUACAAUGGCCGGUACAAUGGGUUGCGAUACUGUGAGGUGGAGCUAAUCCCAAAAAGCCGGUCUCAGUUCGGAUUGGGGUCUGCAACUCGACCCCAUGAAGUCGGAGUCGCUAGUAAUCGCAGAUCAGCAACGCUGCGGUGAAUACGUUCCCGGGCCUUGUAC